AGGAAACACAGGAAUGUUCAGACUCUUGGAGAUGAUGAAGUCCAGACUGUGUGGGCUCUUCACACGAGUCAGCCUCCAGUUAUCAGGAACCCUCUAUGGGGCCGUGCUCAUGAUGUUGAAAUCAGCUUUAUUGCCAACUACGUUCACACAGACGAGGAAAGUUUGGUGACUUGGUGCACAACACUAAACAUGAAAUAUAUAAUAAUGAAGACCUGCGUUGGAGAGUUUCUGAUUCGUGGCACUGCAGCAACAUUGGCAGGUGAUUGAUCUCGAGUGAACCUGAAACACAUCGAAUGUAUUUUUACUAAUCUAGUCAUAACUAAGGCCAACAGUUAUUUUACUUACCAAACACCGUGAACAGCGCAGACAACAUUUCUUCUUGGGUGAAGAUAAAAAGCUGGUGCGUCUGGAGGAAGGUGGGAGACGACACGGGGUACAGAGGGUCGCCGGGCCGUUCGUACGUGAAUCCCCUUUGUGCUCUCCUUAUUCUCCACCUGUCGGUCAGUGAGAUUCUCCGUGUGCUCGUUGGACGUUAGUAUGACUUAUGUUGGUCCGACGAAUGAUGUGGUUUUAAGCAGCUGAUUGCCUUCUUUCCCCUGCGCAGGAGGGGAAGCUGAACGUCAAACGUUUCUUGAUUCUUUUAAGAUCUUCUGAUAUUGAUGCAUGACCGUAGGAUCCCCGUUCACUCGGCGCAAGUUUGAAAUUAACUAAUGUGAAUCACUGAAGGAGAUGAAAAACGCGAGCAAACUCAAACUACACUCUUUCAGUGUUUUGGUAAGCCUGCAGCUGAAUCUCCUGCCGCUCCGGGUGACACUGCAGCUGCAGCAGAUGACACAAACGUUAAAGUUACAGAAACUAAUGAGUCCGAUAAGGCUGAUGCUAUCGUAACCUUACCUGAAACAUCUUGGGCUAAAUGUCGCUCUUUACUGGCUGAGUUAGAUGCUCACCAUGCUCUGUCUCGUGUGGUGGAAAUUCGUGUCCUGCUUGUUCUGUGGAUUUUGGGAUUAUUGCCCUUUUGGACUUCUCUGUUGGAUCGCCUUGUUUCGUUUGGACUGUUAUUAUUUCUGGAUUUUUGUUUCUUUAUGCCUUUGUGGAUUCAUAUCCCUUCUGUUGGACUUUUGGAUUCGCCCAGACUCAGCCACUCAUUUGUAAGUGUGCUCGCUUUCUGUUAAUAAAUCAUUGAU